rnacentral:rRNA from 1 species
AUUGAACGCUGGCGGCAGGCCUAACACAUGCAAGUCGAACGAGUGGCGGACGGGUGAGUAAUGUCUGGGAAACUGCCUGAUGGAGGGGGAUAACUACUGGAAACGGUAGCUAAUACAGCAUACCAUCAGAUGUGCCAAGAUGGGAGUAGCUUGUUGGUGGGGUAACGGCUCACAAAGGCGACGAACACUAGCUGGUCUGAGAGGAUGACCAGCAACAUGGGAACUGAGACACGGUCCAGACUCCUACGGGAGGGAGCAGUGGUGAAUAUUUGACAAUGGGCGCAAGCCUGAUGCAGCCAUGCCGCGUGUAUGAAGAAGGCCUUCGGGUUGUAAAGUACUUUCAGCGGGGAGGCGUUACCCGAAGAAGAAGCACCGGCUAACUCCGAGCCAGCAGCCGCUGUAAUAC